rnacentral:rRNA from 1 species
UACGAGGGGGGCGAGCGUUGUUCGGAAUUAUUGGGCGUAAAGGGCUCGUAGGCGGUUUGUCGCGUCUGCCGUGAAAGUCCGGGGCUCAACUCCGGAUCUGCGGUGGGUACGGGCAGACUAGAGUGAUGUAGGGGAGACUGGAAUUCCUGGUGUAGCGGUGAAAUGCGCAGAUAUCAGGAGGAACACCGAUGGCGAAGGCAGGUCUCUGGGCAUGUCCUGACGCUGAGGAGCGAAAGUGUGGGGAGCGAACAGG